rnacentral:rRNA from 1 species
UAUACCAAGAUUUAACCCCUCAGAGACUGAUCCCUAUUCGAUUUUUUCGAAAACGGGUGAGAUAGAAAGGAUUCGGGAAACCGAUUAAGUUUCUAUCAGACGCCGAGCCCCAGGAUACUGGGUGGUGAUAUAGUCCAACAUCAUACAUACAACAUACAUAUAUGUGUGGCCAGCAGCAGCGGUAAUACAGAGCCCCCGAGCGUUAUCCGGAUUGAUUGGGCGUAAAGUGUCCGUAGCCGGUUUGGAAAGUCGCAGGUUAAAUACCAAGGGCUCAACCUUUGGGAUGCUUGCGAAACUUCCAGACUAGAGGGUGUCAGAGGGUGAUAGAACGCACGGUGGAGGGGUGAAAUCCGUUGAUAUCGUGCGGAAUACCAAAAGCGAAGGCAUUCACCUGGGGCAACCCUGACGGUGAGGGACGAAAGCGUGGGGCGAGAAAAGGAUUAGAUACCCUUGUAUUCCACGCUGUAAACGAUGGAUACUGGCCAUGUGAAGUGUCGACCCUUUACGUGGCGAAGCUAACGCGUUAAGUAUCCCGCCUGGGAAGUACGGCCGCAAGGCUAAAACUCAAAGGAAUAGACGGGGACCCACACAAGCGGUGGAUCAUGCGGCUUAAUUCGUAACUAACCGAGGAACCUCACCAGGGUUUGACACUCUAAUGCAACCCCGAUGAAAGUCGGGGCCUCCGCAAGGACAUUAGAGCAGGUGAUGCACGGCUGUCGUCAGCAUGUACCUUGAGGCGCUCCGUUAAAUCGGGCAACAUGCGCAACCCCUAUCCUGUGUUUUACGUGUCACAGGAAACUGCCUGGGACAACCAGGAGGAAGGUGGGGAUGACGCCAAGUCAGCGUGUCCUUUUGAUACCCUGGGCUGCACGCAUGAUACAAUGGAGCCGACAACGGGUUGCGAAGCCGCAAGGCGGAGCUAAUCCCUAAACGGCCCCCCAGUUCGGAUUGAGGUCUGCAAUUCGACCUCAUGAAGCCGGAAUCGCUAGUAAUCGCCAAUCAGCUAUGUGGCGAUGAAUAUGUUCCUGGGUCUUGUACUCACCGCCUGUCACGCCAAGCGAGCUGGGAAUGCCCAAAGUCCUUCUUCGGAAGGCCUAAGGCAGGCUCAGUGAGAGGGGCGAAGUCAUAACAAGGCACGCGUAGGGGAACCUUCGCUUGUAAUUUUUCUUUU